UUUGUUGUGAACCAAAUGCAAAGAAUUGGACAAAAUGGACUUAUACUUUAGGACUUUACCCAAGCAAAUGGAGUUUGAAGAGAAACUAGGCCUCAUGCCUUUAGAAUGCUUAAAUGUCAAAGAGCAACUAGGCCUCAUGCCUUUAGAAUGCUUAAAUGUCAAAGAGCAACUAGGCCUCAUGCCUUUAGAAUGCUUAAAGCUUAAGGAUGAACAUUGAAAGGACUAUAUUCUAAACUCCCUCUUGUCCAUUCUUUGAUUGUUAAUAGAACCUUUUGAUGUAUGUGUUUU
rnacentral:lncRNA from 1 species